UGGGGAAUUUUGCACAAUGGGGGAAACCCUGAUGCAGCGACGCCGCGUGAUUUAGAAGGCCUUCGGGUUGUAAAAAUCUUUUCUAUGGGAAGAAAAUGACAGUACCAUAGGAAUAAGGACCGGCUAAUUACGUGCCAGCAGCCGCGGUAAUACGUAAGGUCCGAGCGUUGUCCGGAAUUAUUGGGCGUAAAGGGUACGUAGGCGGUCUAUUAAGUCAGGUGUGAAAGCGUGAGGCUUAACCUCAUUAAGCACUUGAAACUGAUAGACUUGAGUGAAGGAGAGGAAAGUGGAAUUCCUAGUGUAGCGGUGAAAUGCGUAGAUAUUAGGAGGAAUACCGGUGGCGAAGGCGACUUUCUGGACUUUUACUGACGCUCAGGUACGAAAGCGUGGGGAGCAAACAGG
rnacentral:rRNA from 1 species